GGCGUUGUGGCGGAGUGGUUAUCGCGAUAGACUAGAAUGGCGAAUUCUGUGAUCUAUUUCCUUCGGGAGCGUAGGUUCGAAUCCUGCCAACGUCG